AGAGAAUUUUGUAAAGACUGAAGUAAAUGGUAAUCUGAAGGUGCAAUGUCUGGCGAAUAUGGCAGAUGAAUCAGAACUUCCCAGCCAAGCUGUAACAGUUUUUGCCUGGUCGUCAAAGAAACAUGAGGUCUUGCGUUAUCCUGGUGGAAAAUUAUGCAUUUUCUGUUGACUAAUUCCAGACGCUUUUCAUCGAGUGAUGC